rnacentral:lncRNA from 1 species
CCAGUGCUGGGUUAUAUAAGCUGCUAGCUGCCUGCAUACACAGCAUAAGGUAUUAUUGUUAAGAAUAUAGGCAAGAAAUAAAUUUCAAAAAUAUGUACCAUAUUCCAUCCUACUGAUUACAUAUUUCUUCAAAGUAACAUGAACUGAAUCAACAAAGCUGACUGGUUAAAGUCAAGUAAAUAAAUUCAUGGAGAAGGAAAGAGGAUGUAGAAUAUAAAUGGACACAAAUCUGAUUCUAGAGAAACCCUUGUCCCAAAUUACAAAGGAAAGAAAAGAUGUCCUACUAAAAAGGAUGAGUAAGUAACACAUUUUCCUGGCUGGAUGUCAUUUUGAAUGUCAGAUCGGCCAAUACCAAGGUAAGUCUUGACUGUGUGUGCGUGUAUGUGUGUGUGUGUGUGUACGCGCAUAUGUGUUUGAUAGUCCCACAUUUUCAAACACGCAGCAUGUUCCAAAUUGCUCAAAUUCCAUACAGAGCUCUAAAUGAUAUAAUCCUGGGUAGGUAGUCAAAUCACACAUGAUACUGGGAAUUUCAGUACUGACAAGUACUACUGUUAAUUUCUGAAAGAAAAGGUACAUUUACUCAUAUCUUAGAAUGGUCCUCCAGAAAAAAAAAAUAUCUUUGCUUUAUCUACUUAGGAGAAGAAUAAGAUUUAAAUACAUAAAUCACCUUUUUAUUUCUGAAUUUUCCUUACGUUAUCUUUCCUAACACUUUGUCUUUGGGGGCUAAUUGAUCUUCCUUAUCCUAUACUGCCACCUAUUGGUAAACCAUAAAUAUGGUGGAUUUUAGAACAUAAGAAAUAUGCCUAAAGCUCACUUUCCUUUGUAGGGAAGUGUGAUAGAUAGCAGAGAGAGAUCUAUACUUUUGCCCUUAGAAUUAUUUAUCCCUGGGGAAAAAGCAAUAUUUAAUCACUUUCACUAUUUUUUUUUCAUUCAGAGCAUUUGAUUCUAGUGUUCUUGGCAGCAGUUACUUGUAGGUCCAUUUCCUUAGAUCUGGGAAUCAUGAUAAAAACAAAAAUGGAUUCUCUAGGCUUUUAUAUUAGAGUUUGCUUAUUUAAAAGAAUGAGGCAAGACUCCCUUCUUCUCUAUACAUAAAGAUAAAGCUUCUAUGGGGCAAUUAGGUCCUUCCCAAGGAAAUAGCAGAUCAGUACUCAUUUUUGAAGUCCUACAUUUGAUAAAUUUAACAUAUAGCCUGGAGUGAAGCUGAAGGAGUGGAUGGAGAGGCUAUAAGGGGGUAAUUAUAGAGAUUCUGUUCUAGAACUACCUGUAGCCCUCAUCUCUAUAGGGGUAAUUCUUUUACUCCCAAUCUGAGUUCAGGUCUGGGACCCACUCCUAGUACCUGGGUGAUAUGAAAGUGGAUCUCUGGUGUUUGCCCCUCUCAUUAGGACUGUGAGAUACAGAUUAAAUGGGAACAAUUUAUAGAAACAAAUUCCUCUCCCCGGAUGAAGGUAAGGGGUUCACUGCUAGCCUCUCACUGAUUUCAAAUCAGUCAAUAAAGCCUGAAUUGCCUAUUCUGAGAGAAAAGAGAGAGAGUCUGCAUCAGGAUUCUUCAUAUCGAUGCCAAGCAUUAUAUUUAAAUUGAGAAUACAUUGGGAAAGAGGAUACAUUACAUAUAGAAAAAAUUCCUGAGCCUCAGAACCCUAGAAAUACCCCAUUUACAACCUUCCUCAUUUUAAUUACCUCAUCCUUUCCCAAUGCCAUUAAUCACACUUCUUUUAUGAUAGAUUAAUAAUGAAAUACAAUAAAAUCAUAAGAAUCUUUAAAGUCCUUUAAAAAGCUAGCAAUGCUACACAUAUAUCCAAAUUGGCUUCUUGUUCUCUAGUAAUGAAUCACAUGAUCUACUCAGAGAAGAAAUGUUGGAUGAUACAACCAGAAUAAUUUAUAUGAUGUCAUCUUCAGAAGGCUGAGAGCAUAGAAUAAUUUUAAUAACUCACUGCCACCAUUAAAGUUAUUCAUUACAUGGAAACUAGAAAGAAUUAGCACACUGGGAGGAUGUACUUAACUUUUAGCAAAGAGAGUAAAUAUCCUAAAAGGAAUUUCCUUCUACUUUAGAUCUCUAAAAUUAAGACAAGCAUCCUCAACUCAUUUAUUUUUUAAUGAUUUUUAUUUUUUCCAUUAUAGCUGAUUUACAGUGUUCUGUGAAUUUUCUACUGCACAACAAGGUGACCCAGAUACACAUACAUGUAUACAUUCUUUCUCUCACAUUAUUAUGUUCCAUCAUAAGUGACUAGAUAUAGUUCCCAGUGCUAUACAGCAGAAUCCCAUUGCUUAUCCAUUCCAAAGGCAAUAGUUGCAUCUAUUAACCCCAAAUUACCAGUCCCUCCCACUCCCUCCCCCUCGGCAACUACAAGUCUGUUCUCCAUGUCCAUGAUUUUCUUUUCUGUCGACAGGUUCAUUUGUGCCAUGUAUUAGAUUCUAGAUAGAAGUGAAAUCAUAUGGUAUUUGUCUUUCUCUUUCUGAUUUACUUCACUUCGUAUGACAGUCUCUAGUUUGGUCCAUGUUGCUACAAAUGGCGGAUCAAGAUGGCAGAGGAGUAAAAUAUCACACUCACCUUCUCCCAUAAACAUUAAAAAAAAACACAUCUACAUGUAAAAUGAUUCACACAGAACAUCUAUUGAACGAUGGCAGAAGAACUUAAACCUCCAAAAAGGGCAAGAAAUUCUUGACAUAACUGGGUAGAACAAAAGAAAAAAAGAGAGAAAAGGAAUCAGGAUGGGACUAGCAUUCCUGAGAGGGAGCUGUGAAGGAGAAAAGGAACCCACAUCCUGGGAAGCCACCUAAUUCUGUUUCUCAUGUGGGAUAUUAAGUUGCUCAGCCGAGACAGGGAGACCUCAAAGUAGCUGAGAAAAGUGCAACUUCUCGACUCGUUUAGAUACAGACUUUCUCUGAGUGUUGAUAAACCAGAUGGUUUCUAAAAACCCAGUAACAGAGCCUCUGUAGAUUUGCAGGAGGGAAUUAUUCUUUAAAGAACAGACAAGCCAGGAAAAGCACUAUGGCAAUCACUCAGCACAGCAACUUAAUAUCCCACAUAAGAAACAGAAUGCCUUCACUAUUUAAAUGGCACCUCUAGGAGAUACAAUGAUCUAAGCCUUGCACAAUGAUCUAAGCCCUGCAAAAUUUAAGAGUUGAAGAUAAUAAUUAUGUUUUUUAAAUUAAAAUAACAUUGUAAAUCAACUAUACUUCAAUGAUUUUUUUAAAUGUUUAGAAAAUUUUAUUUCAAAGUUUUUCUCAUUCAGAUUCACUAAACAUUUUCCCAAAGGCACUGAAUGAAAACUUUAGUCCUACUAGGAGAAAUAGACUUUAACUCUCCAUUUGUCACUUAAAAAAUAGGGUUGCUUUCAUUCAUUUAAAAAAAGGUAGGAAGAAAAGAAACUUGUUUAUCAGACCUGAAAGUGGGAUGCUUCACUUAAGACUCUGGGGGACAGUCUGUUAAGUGAGGCAUUUAUUAAGGUAGCUGGCAUUUAUUAAGCACUUACUAUGUUCUAAACAAUAUGUUUUUAAGCCUCUGAUCCUAAUCACAUGAAUAAGACACUGUUUUGAGUACCAUAUACCAUGUAAAUUGUUCAAAUCCAUUCCUCAAAUAACUGGCAAAGAUGAUAUUCAAACCCAGAUCUGUCUGACCACAAGUCAAUACGCUACACUACCUCAUCAUAUGAAGGUAAAGCGGGAGGUCCUAUGAAUUAACAGUUCUGGGGAGGUCUGCAAGACUUACCAGAGGAGAUGGUCAUCUUAGCUGACACCUGAAGGACAAAGAGGAGUUACUAAAGCAAAAUGGAAACAAGAAAGAAUGUUCCAGGCUAAAGGAAAAGCAUGAGAUGGCCUAGAGUAAAGAGAAAAAUAGGGUUUAAGAACUGUGACUAAUUUUAUGUGGCUAAGGCAUAGGGCUUAAGGCAGGGAGUGAGAGGAAAUCAUGAUGAAAAAAAUUAGAAGGUUGCGGAGGACAUUAUUUUCCAAAUUAGAGAAUCUGGCAUUCAUCAUGAAGGCCAGUUGGAGACCAGUGUUAAGCAGGCAACUGACAUGAUCAGAUUUGUGUUUUGUAAAAUGUUCACUCUCGAUCAAGAAAACAAAAUCCAUGGGAGGGGGCAAGACUAGAAACCAGAACAGCAGGAGGCUGCUUCAAUCAUUCAUGAUGAACGAAACUAAAACAAUUGCUGAGGAAACGGACAGAGAGAAACAGAUUUGAGAAAUAUUUGGGAGGUAGAAAUGACAGGACUUGGAGACAAUGUGGAAGAGGAAGAAGAGGGAUGAGUCAAGGAUUAGGUUUCUAGCUCCAAUCCCUAGUGAAUACAAAAACUGAAACUGAGAGAAAGAUUUUGGAGACUAUGGAUUUAUACAUACCUGCUGCAAUCCUCUCCGAUAAGUUGUUAUCAGCCUUUUUAAAAGAUCCCAUGGGAGAACUACAAAUUCUCCUUUAGAGCUAGAAUCCUGAAAUGGCUUCUUUGUUUCAUUAAUAUUCAUGGGUGCACUGUACUCAUAUGGCAUUAGGCAUUGGGGAAGGACAACACAAGUAGUAUAAGCUAUGACAUCUCCUCUGUAACACUUUGUUGGGAAAAUAAAAAAUAAAAAC